rnacentral:rRNA from 1 species
GAUUGAAAGCUGGCGGCAGGCCUAACACAUGCAAGUCGAGCGGAUGACGGGAGCUUGCUCCUGGAUUCAGCGGCGGACGGGUGAGUAAUGCCUAGGAAUCUGCCUGGUAGUGGGGGAUAACGUCCGGAAACGGGCGCUAAUACCGCAUACGUCCUGAGGGAGAAAGUGGGGGAUCUUCGGACCUCACGCUAUCAGAUGAGCCUAGGUCGGAUUAGCUAGUUGGUGGGGUAAAGGCCUACCAAGGCGACGAUCCGUAACUGGUCUGAGAGGAUGAUCAGUCACACUGGAACUGAGACACGGUCCAGACUCCUACGGGAGGCAGCAGUGGGGAAUAUUGGACAAUGGGCGAAAGCCUGAUCCAGCCAUGCCGCGUGUGUGAAGAAGGUCUUCGGAUUGUAAAGCACUUUAAGUUGGGAGGAAGGGCAGUAAGUUAAUACCUUGCUGUUUUGACGUUACCAACAGAAUAAGCACCGGCUAACUUCGUG